AGCGAACGCUGGCGGCAGGCCUAACACAUGCAAGUCGAACGAACUCUUCGGAGUUAGUGGCGGACGGGUGAGUAACACGUGGGAACGUGCCUUUAGGUUCGGAAUAACUCAGGGAAACUUGUGCUAAUACCGAAUGUGCCCUUCGGGGGUAAGAUUUAUCGCCUUUAGAGCGGCCCGCGUCUGAUUCGCUAGUUGGUGAGGUAAAGGCACACCAAGGCGACGAUCAGUAGCUGGUCUGAGAGGAUGAUCAGCCACAUUGGGAAUGAGACACGGCCCAAACUCCGACGGGAGGCAGCAGUGGGGAAUCUUGCGCAAUGGGCGAAAGCCUGACGCAGCCAUGCCGCGUGAAUGAUGAAGGUCUUAGGAUUGUAAAAUUCUUUCACCGGGGACGAUAAUGACGGUACCCGGAGAAGAAGCCCCGGCUAACUUCGUG
rnacentral:rRNA from 1 species